rnacentral:rRNA from 1 species
GUGUCAGCAGCCGCGGUAAUACAGAGGGUGCGAGCGUUAAUCGGAUUUACUGGGCGUGAAGCGUGCGUAGGCGGCUUAUUAAGUCGGAUGUGAAAUCCCCGAGCUUAACUUGGGAAUUGCAUUCGAUACUGGUGAGCUAGAGUAUGGGAGAGGAUGGUAGAAUUCCAGGUGUAGCGGUGAAAUGCGUAGAGAUCUGGAGGAAUACCGAUGGCGAAGGCAGCCAUCUGGCCUAAUACUGACGCUGAGGUACGAAAGCAUGGGGAGCAAACAGGAUUAGAAACCCUCGUAGUCC